GUGCUCACUUAGGCAGCACAUAUACUAGAAUUGGAACAAUACAGAGAAGAUUAUCAUGGCCCCUGUGCGAGGAUAACAUGCAAAUUCAUGAAGCGUGCAUAUAAAAA
rnacentral:snRNA from 1 species